ensembl:lncRNA
AUGGGAGCGGGCAGAGAGGGGGUCAAGGAGAAGGGGGCUGUGAGAGGCAGUGCGUUUAGGGCCUUAGUGUCACUUGAGCAAGUGACUAAACUGCUCUGGGCCUGUUUUCUCUCGGACCCCCCGCAUGGAGGUUACAGCACCCACAGGUCAGGAUCGGCACUGGCUGCCGGCGGCACCAUCACAACUGAUCACAGCUGGUCAGCAGGGAGCCCAGGGGACAGGGCUGGCCCAGCCCCUUCCGAGUCCUUUCCAUUCCAAAUGCCCCUCCCCCAUCCUCUCCCCGCUGCCCCCACGCCUGCCCGGGGCAGGCCUGCGGCUGGCGGAGGCCGGGGUCCUGUCCACAGCUCUGUGUUGGACGUCUUCCGGCCAAAGCAGGAGCAAGGCCUCGGCGUGCCUGCUUCCCUGCAGCGGGCACCAGGCAGGUGCUGGUGGGUGAGGAGCUGGGGAGCAGGCCGGUGCGCAGUGACGGGGUGGGGGCGGGGUGGGGCUCUGAGCACAGUGCGGCUGUGUCCCAGGCACCCAGGGCCGAGAGGUCCCUCUCCACGUUGUGCAAGGCUCUGGCCGGGACUGGGUGGGGCCGGGUCCCAGGUGGGACUCUUGCCCCGCCCCGGCCUGCUGGCGCAGGGCAGAGGAGGGUGCAGCCAGGUGCUGCUCCCUGCGCGGGACGGGUGCUCCCGCCUGGGCGCCACUGCUGCCCCUCCCCGAGUCGCCGUUCUGCUGCAGCAGCUCAGGCCGAACCCUCAGUCACCCCUGGCUCUCCCCCUCCGUGAGUGCAUUCAGUGUGGGGUCACUGGACAGCACCGCCCUGCUCUGCCUGCUGCAAAGCCGCCUCAGUGGUGGUGGCCCUCCAGCGUCCUCCCGUCAGUGGUUGGACAGGCACACCAGGCAGCCCCUGAUGGCCUCCCUCCAGCCCAGCUGGCGGGAACAGACAUUGGGGACGCCAUCACGGCAAACAGGGUGGCGGCGCCUCGGGGGCUACAACAGACCCAGGGGACGACCCAGCAGCCCCCACUGGCAGGUGCACAUCCGCGGGAACCAGAGUUGUCUGCCCCAGAGGCAUCUGAGUGCGGCCCCUUCAUGCCAGCCCAGGCAUGGCUGGAGGCCGCCGGCUGCUGGCCACUGCCGGCCACUACACGGAAUAAGAAAGGGAGACACCCCAUCAGAGGCCACGCCACGGGAAAUGAGCCAGCGCUGGGCAUGACCACGGUCGACCCCACACUUCAUCAAGAACCACAGGAGAGGCGGGCAAGGUGGCCAGCACAGAGAACCCACAGGCAUUUAAGGAGAGGAAGAUGCUAACGGCCCCGGGGUGACGGGCGCUCAGGGCGUGCGUCCACUGGUUACUGCACGGGACUCCACAAACAUGAACACCUACCGCCAGUUUUACAAGAACUAAGCACCAAGUCUUGUGCAAGGGAGCGGCCCAAGGAGCCGAGCGCUCAGCACAGCAGGGCUGCAGACAGGGACAGAGGCACCAGGGGCUCGGGACACCGCCCGAGGCCAGCUGGCCUCUCCCCUGGUGGCACUGGAGCACGCGUGAGAGCCCUGUGCAGGUCUCUGAGCCAUUCAGAGCUCCCCGUGGGACUCACGGCCGCCAGGGACCUGGGAAUGGUCCUGGGAGACGGGUCUGUCACGGGGCCGGGCAGCAGUGCCCGUGAGAGCCUGGAUGGGGGAACUGGACAGACGAGGCAUGGGCAUCCCCACCCGAGCACGGGGAGAGGCCCAGUGAGGGCCCAGGGACUGCUGGGCAGGCGGGAAGGGCCGGCAAGGCACGCCAUGGUCUCCUGGGGAGCCCACCCCUGAGCCCAGAGUUCAGGAGGUGGAGAAAAGCCUCAGGCUGGGCCUCUGUGCAGGGCCCGAGCUGUCCACGGCAGCCUGACACUGAGCAGGUGCGAACACAGGUCUCGAAGGUGGACACAGCAUGGCUUGGCUGCCCCCCGCCCUGCCUACCAGUUCCAAGGGGCCUGGGCUGCUGGCGUGAGCGGCAGAUGACAAUGACUUCUGUGUACACGUUGGGGGACACCCACGGAGGCACCCCUUUCUCCCUCCCAGCACCCCUGAGUGGGGGGGGGGUUGAGCCCAUUUUCCUGCCAGGGAGACUGAGGCCCAGGGCCACCACACUUUCCUAAGGUUGGUGCAAGGUUCCCAUUAGGAUCCCCACACUCGUAGCUCACCCUCCUUGCUCUGGGGCCAGGAGGCCUGGCCACUACCUUUAAGUCUCAGCCCCACUGCCCCCCGCCCCAGGCCUCUGCAGCGAGCCCCUGCCCGCCUGCUGGGGGCCCUCCUUACCGGACGAUGA